GCCUACGGGGGCAGCAGUGAGGAAUAUUGGUCAAUGGGCGGGAGCCUGAACCAGCCAAGCCGCGUGAGGGAAGAAGGUACAGCGUAUCGUAAACCUCUUUUGUCAGGGAACAAAGGCGGGGACUAGUCCCCGGAUGAGGGUACCUGAAGAAAAAGCAUCGGCUAACUCCGUGCCAGCAGCCGCGGUAAUACGGAGGAUGCGAGCGUUAUCCGGAUUUAUUGGGUUUAAAGGGUGCGCAGGCGGCCUGUUAAGUCAGCGGUAAAAGCCCGGGGCUCAACCCCGUCGAGCCGUUGAAACUGGCGGGU
rnacentral:rRNA from 1 species